rnacentral:misc_RNA from 1 species
AACUUUUAGCAACGGAUCACUUGGUUCUGGCAUCGAUGAAGAACGCAGCGAAAUGCGAUAAUUAAUGUGAAUUGCAGACUCAGUGAAUCAUCGAAUCUUUGAACGCACAUUGCGCCCUCUGGUAUUCCGGGGGGCAUGCCUGUUCGAGCGUCAUUACAACCCUCAAGCUCUGCUUGGUGUUGGGCGAGCCCUGUAGGGCUCGCCUCAAAGUCAGUGGCGGCACUGUCUGACCCUUAAGCGUAGUAAUACUCGUCGCUUUUUCGGUGAGACUGGGCCUGCCAGCCAACCCCCACCAUCAAGGUUGACCUCGGAUCAGGUAGGGAUACCCGCUGAACUUAAGCAUAUCAAUAAGCGGAGGCU